GGUCGAUGAUGAUUGGUAAAAGGUCUGAUCGCACCCGAUGUCACAGCCCUUCCUUGCCCUCAGCUCCCAGCAGCCCAUUUUCCCCCCGUCACAUUUAAGUUGUGUGCACGGGGCAGUGGAGCGGCUGACACCCGGGAAUUCUGUCAGAGCGUGUUCCGAGAGUGGACGGUUCACAGCUGGCAGCCUUCCAACAGAACCAGCGAUCAGGAGGCUGAUGAGCGGCAGCCGUGGGUGUGGCGGUGCGUGAUCUCAAGUUUUCAAUCUGAGACC